rnacentral:rRNA from 1 species
GCGUAUAUUAAAGUUGUUGCGGUUAAAAAGCUCCGUAGUUGGAUUUUCUGUCGAGGACGGCCCGUCCGCCUUUUGGGCGUGUAUGUGGUUCGUGCUUGGCAUCCUCUUUGGGAGACGUUUCUGUGCUUCAUUUGCAUGGGACGGAAUUCAAGACUUUUACUUUGAGGAAAUUAGAGUGUUCACGGCAAGCUAUCGCUUUUGAAUACAUUAGCAUGGAAUAAUAAUAUAGGGCGUA